rnacentral:rRNA from 1 species
CUGCUGCCUCCCGUAGGAGUCUGGUCCGUGUCUCAGUACCAGUGUGGGGGACCUUCCUCUCAGAACCCCUACGCAUCGUCGUCG